rnacentral:rRNA from 1 species
UAACGCGAAGAACCUUACCUGGGCUCGAACGGCGGACGACGUCUCUUAGAAAUAGGAGAGUUUCCUUCGGGAACGGCCGUAGAGGUGCUGCAUGGCUGUCCUCAGCUCGUGUCGUGAGAUGUUGGGUUAAGUCCCGCAACGAGCCCCCCCUUGUCUUGUGUUCUAAUCUUGGGAGGCACUCUCAGGAGACCCCCGCUACAACUGGAGGAAGGUGGGGAUGAUGUCAAGUCAGCAUGGCCUUUAUGUCCAGGGCUACACACGUGCUACAAUGGGCAGGACAGACCGUUGCAAACCCGCGAGGGGGAGCUAAUCCGAAAACCUGUUCCAAUUCGGAUUGCGGCUGCAACUCACCGCCUGAACUGGAAUCGCUAGUAAUGGCAGAUCACCAUGCUGCCGUGAAUACGUUCCCGGGUCUUGUACACACCGA